rnacentral:rRNA from 1 species
GAUGAACGCUGGCGGCGUGCCUAAUACAUGCAAGUCGAGCGAACAGACGAGGAGCUUGCUCCUCUGACGUUAGCGGCGGACGGGUGAGUAACACGUGGAUAACCUACCUAUAAGACUGGGAUAACUUCGGGAAACCGGAGCUAAUACCGGAUAUUAUAUUGAACCGCAUGGUUCAAUAGUGAAAGACGGUUUUGCUGUCACUUAUAGAUGGAUCCGCGCCGCAUUAGCUAGUUGGUAAGGUAACGGCUUACCAAGGCAACGAUGCGUAGCCGACCUGAGAGGGUGAUCGGCCACACUGGAACUGAGACACGGUCCAGACUCCUACGGGAGGCAGCAGUAGGGAAUCUUCCGCAAAGGGCGAAAGCCUGACGGAGCAACGCCGCGUGAGUGAUGAAGGUCUUCGGAUCGUAAAACUCUGUUAUUAGGGAAGAACAAAUGUGUAAGUAACUAUGCACGUCUUGACGGUACCUAAUCAGAAAGCCACGGCUAACUACGUG